rnacentral:tmRNA from 1 species
UGACUUGAAUCGGACCACGGAACAGACUAUGUUCACUUUGUCUUCUUCGGAGGACUAUGGCGAUAAACGCGCCCGUAAUAAGCGGAUCGGACCCGGGGGCGGUACCCGGCGACUCCACCAUACAUCCCGUAUUGGGGGAUCAUGGGGUCGAAACAGGAUCGACGGACGUCUAAAGGGGUAAUGCUUUCGCUCGGUGAGUUACCACCGUUAUCGGUACAAAAUGUACAGUUGCCAAUAUCAACCGUGCUCCGGUCGCCGUCGCAGCGUAAGCUGCGUCGAGACCGAAACUUAAGCCCUUGCGCCUAGCAGCGUAAGGCGGGGUUCGCAGGCACCUGGCAACAGAAGCCUGCACU